GUGAGCUAGCAGCAGCUAACCAGCACAUUUGACCCUGUGUGUGCUAUGAUGAACUAGACAUCCGGGCUGUGUGUAUGGAAGAUGGCGACACUUAUCCUCCCUGGUGAAUGGAUCAAAAACUGGGAAAAAUCAGGAAAACACGAAUUUGUACAACUCUGCAAAGAGCUCACGGAAAAAACAGAUCAUGGAAGUGAGGUUAGAGAUAUACAGGCUGCCUUAUACGAGCUUUGCUGGCAGGUUGUACAAGGGAACCUGAAGUUGGAUCUCGUUGCCAGCGUCCUUGGGGACAUGAUGGAACUCAGAGAUGACAUGCCAUCAAUUUUAGCAGAUGUGUUCAGUAUACUAGAUUUAGAGACUGGUGCGCUGGAAGAGAAAAACAAACGUGACCAUUACACACAACUAGUGGGAGCAUGUUUGUUCUUUGUUCCAGAGGCCAUCCUGAAGGAGAGGCUCGAUCCAGAAACCCUUGAAUCUCUUGGACUCAUAAAGCAAGCCCAUCAGUUUAAUCAGAAGAUUGUAAAAAUCAAGACUAAACUAUUUUAUAAACAACAGAAGUUCAACUUGCUAAGGGAGGAGAACGAGGGCUACGGCAAACUAAUCACUGAGCUCGGCCAGGACCUCUCUGGCAACAUCACCAGCCACGUCGUUCUGGAGAGCAUAAAGUCCCUCAUAGGAUGUUUUAACUUGGACCCUAACCGUGUUCUGGACAUUAUCUUGGAGGUGUAUGAGAGCAGAUCUGACCAGGAUGAGUUUUUCCUGUCUCUCAUCAAAUCAUACAUGUGUGAGCCGCUUACUCUUUGCCACAUCCUGGGCUUCAAGUUCAAGUUCUACCAGGAGCCAAGCGAGGAAACUCCCAAGUCACUUUACCACAUCGCUGCUGCUCUGCUUCACCAUAACCUGAUAGAGCUGGAAGAUCUCUACGUACAUCUCAUGCCACUAGAUGCCGCCAUCAUAGAGGAACACAAACGAGAUAUCUCCGAUGCCAAGCAGAUUGCCCGCAAACUGGUCAUGGUUGUGUUGCCUUCGGAGAAAAAUGAGGACAAAGACAAGGAGAAGGAAAAAGAGGAGGAAAAGAAUGAAAAGGCUCCUGAUAACCAGAAGCUCGGUCUGUUGGAGGCGCUGCUUAGAAUCGGAGACUGGCACCACGCCCAGAGUAUUAUGGACCAGAUGCCUUCCUUCUAUGCAGCUUCUCACAAGGCCAUCGCGCUGGCUCUCUGCCAGCUCGUGCACCUGACUGUUGAGCCUCUUUACAGAAGAGCGGGCCUCCCAAAAGGGGCACGUGGAUGUGUGCUGCAGCCACUGAGGAGCAAGCGGGCCCCUCGGCCUGCUGAGACCUUUGAGGACCUUCGCAGGGACACUUUCAGCAUGCUCGGCUACCUGGGCCCUCACCUCUCUCACGACCCCAUCCUCUUUGCCAAGAUUGUGCGUCUUGGGAAGGGCUUCAUGAAAGAGAACCAAAGUGAUGGCAGAGCUGACUACAAAGACAAAAUGGACACACUGUUGAGUUGUUUCCUGAGCAUUGCAGACCAGGUGCUACUCCCUGCUAUCUCUCUGAUGGAGUGUAAUGCUUGCAUGUCUGAGGAGCUGUGGGGUCUCUUUAAACUCUUUCCCUACCAUCACAGGUAUCGGUUAUAUGGACAGUGGAAGAAUGAGACAUACUCCAGCCAUCCACUGUUGGUUAAAGUCAAAGCUCAAACAGUGGAACGGGCCAAAUACAUUAUGAAGCGGUUGACCAAAGAGAAUGUGAAACAAUCUGGAAGGCAGAUUGGCAAACUGAGCCACAGCAAUCCCACCAUCCUGUUUGAUUAUAUGCUGUCUCAGAUCCAGUGGUACGACAACCUCAUCGUUCCCGUGGUGGAUUCUUUAAAAUACCUCACAUCCCUCAACUAUGAUGUCCUGGCCUAUUGCAUCAUUGAGGCUCUGGCCAACCCUGAGAAGGAGAAGAUGAAGCAUGACGACACCACCAUCUCCUCGUGGCUUCAGAGUCUGGCAAGUCUGUGUGGAGCCGUGUUCAGAAAAUACCCGAUCGAGCUGGCUGGCCUUCUUCAGUAUGUCACCAAUCAGCUGAAGGCAGGGAAGAGUUUUGACCUUUUGAUAAUGAAAGAGGUGGUGCAGAAAAUGGCCGGCAUUGAGAUCACUGAUGAGAUGACCUCCGAGCAGUUAGAGGCCAUGACUGGAGGGGAGCAACUCAAAGCCGAGGGUGGCUACUUUGGCCAAAUCAGGAACACUAAGAAGUCUUCACAGCGUCUGAAGGAUGCCCUGCUGGACCAUGAACUGGCCCUGCCUUUGUGUUUACUCAUGGCCCAGCAACGAAAUGGUGUCGUUUUCUUAGAAGGUGGAGAGAAACACCUCAAACUUGUGGGCCACCUCUAUGAUCAGUGUCAUGACACUUUGGUGCAGUUUGGGGGCUUUUUGGCCUCCAACUUGAGCACAGAGGACUACAUCAAGCGGGUUCCCUCCAUUGACAUCCUUUGUAACCAGUUCCACACUCCACAUGACGCUGCCUUCUUCCUAUCUCGGCCGAUGUAUGCACACCAGAUUUUGUCGAAGUAUGAUGAACUGAAGAAAGCAGAAAAGGGCAACAGGCAGCAGCAGAAGGUGCACAAGUAUGUUGCAGCGUGCGAACAGGUGAUGACCCCGGUCCAUGAGGCGGUGGUGUCCCUACAUCCAGCCAGAGUGUGGGACGACCUCCGACCUCAGUUCUACGCCACGUUCUGGUCCCUCACGAUGUACGACCUGGCCGUUCCAAAUGCUGCGUACGAUCGUGAGGUCAACAAGCUCAAGGUUCAGAUCAAGGCCAUCGAGGAGAACCCAGAGAUACCCAUGAAUAAGAAAAAGAAGGAGAAGGAACGCUGCACUGCCCUGCAGGAGAAACUGCAGGAGGAGGAGAAGAAGCAAGCGGAGCACGUUCAACGGGUUCUACACCGCCUCAAGCUAGAGAAAGACAACUGGUUGUUGGCCAAAUCCACAAAGAACGAGACGAUAACAAAGUUCCUGCAGCUCUGUCUGUUCCCUCGCUGCAUCUUCUCCUCCAUCGACGCUGUGUACUGUGCCCGCUUUGUUGAGCUAGUCCACCAGCAGAAGACACCCAACUUCUGCACCCUCCUGUGCUACGACAGGGUGUUCUCUGCCAUCAUUUACACGGUGGCCAGCUGUACGGAGAACGAGUCUCACCGCUAUGGACGCUUCCUCUGCUGCAUGCUGGAGACGGUGACUCGAUGGCACAGCGACCGAGCCACCUAUGAGAAGGAGUGCGUUAAUUACCCUGGCUUCCUGACCAUCUUCAGAGCCACCGGCUUUGAUGGAGGGAACAAAGCAGAUCAGCUUGAUUAUGAGAACUUCAGGCAUGUCGUGCACAAGUGGCACUACAUGCUGACAAAAGCUUCAGUUCACUGCCUGGAGACGGGAGAUUACACCCACAUCCGCAAUAUUCUCAUCGUGCUCACAAAGAUCCUGCCCUGCUACCCCAAGGUCCUGAACCUAGGCCAAGCCCUGGAGUGUCGAGUCCACAAGAUCUGCCUCGAGGAGAAGGACAAGAGGCCCGACCUCUAUGCCUUAGCAAUGGGUUAUUCGGGUCGAUUGAAAAGCCAGAAGGUGCACAUGGUCCCUGAGAACGAGUUUCACCACAAGGAGCAGCCAGCGCGCAGUGCCACCCCUGCCAGCCAACAGAACGGUCCAAGCAGCACUGGAAAGCCGGCCAGCACCUCGAGCAAGACAGAGGAGGGGACGCCAGAGGACGGAGAUCGGAGCAAGGAUAAAUCUCAGGGGACUACAAAGCCAGUGAACAAAACCAACAGUGCAGCGGCCAAAGUGACCACCAGCAAUGGGAACGGUGCUCUCAACAGCACCAAAGCCGUGAAAGACCGGGACGACAAAGAGAAGAGCGGGAAGGACAAGAAAGAGAAAAAGGAAAAGACACCAGGCAGCACUCCUGAGACAAAGGCGGAGAACCGGCGGGAAAAGCAGAGAGACGAAAGAGCGGGGAAGGAGGAGCGGGCGGCACGUGAGGGUAAGGAGAAGACCCCCAAGGCAGACAGGGAGAAAGUGAAAGCUGAGGAGAAGAGCAGCAAAGACGAGAAGGCCAAAGCCGGCAACGGGGAGCCAGUGGAGCCGUCCAGGGAGCGCGACGCCAUCAAGGAGUCCAAGAGCAAGGAGAAAGGAGACCGGAGUGCUGCGGCUGGGUCCCUCAAGUCACCAGUUCCCAGAUCAGAGUCAGCCGAAUCCGAGAGGGAUCACAAAAGACGAAAGCUCGACAGCCACUCUUCUCCUUCCCACUCGUCGUCUGUUAAGGACAAUAACAACGAACCCAAGGAUUCCACAUCCAAGCACCACCCCAACUACAAUUCAGUAGCCCGGUCCAAGAGCAGAGAGAGGGAGCAGGAGAAGAAAGAGUCAGACAACACACAAGGCCGAUCCAAAGAGAAGAAAGAAGAGAAGGAUCGAAAAGAAAGGAAACGAGACCACGCUGUCAAUGAUCGUGAGGCGAGCCAAGAAACCAAACGUAAAAAGGACGAGAACGGAACCAAUUCCUCCAAAAACAGCAAGAGCACGAGUCCCACCUGUGACUCCCCGCUUUCAGCUGACAAAGAGAAGAGCAAAAGAUCCAAAUCUUCGAGUAAAGAGAAGGCAGAUUCUGUGAAACCUGAGCGGACGUCCUCUGGAGGGAAAAAGGAGUCUCGACAUGACAAAGAGAAAUCUGAGAAGAAAGAGAAAAGGGACAGCAGCGGUGGAAAGGAAGAGAAAAAGCAAUAUCCUACAAAGUGAUGCCUUGAUCUUAUCUCUGGUGAUACUCAUAAAUCUUCUGACAAGCACAGAUAAUGUGCACUGCUCAGUGAAGAACUGGAGAAGCUGUGUUUUUAUCUGCGGGACACCUGCAGCUCCACCUGCACUCUGUUCUCUCUCAUUUUGCCUGUGUUGUUUUGCUGUAAAGUCCCCUCCCAAAUGUUGUUAGCUGUAGUUAUCUGAACGUACAGAUUCACCUCAUUAUUUUUUCCAUUUCAGUAUACAGCAAACCAAUGGAAACCAGUUUGUUUUUUGUUUCUCUUUUAUUAUCCAAUACAGGCACAAUGUGCUGCUAUGAUCACAUGGUUACUAUUGUUCUGAGUAGAGAAGUGGUUACUGUAUGAAAUUAUCUCUUGGUGACAGCCGGUCAUCCAUCCAAUAAUCUCAUGCUUGAAAAAUUUGUAUUUUUGUAUGUUGUCAGGCUUUUUGCUCGUUUAAUUGGAUUUAACACACUUUCCAUAUUCACUUACCUUCUAUCCUUUUUGAGAUAUUUAGAUACUUUUAUUUAUUUAUCUCCACCUUUUAAUCCCCGUUAGGCAGUAGGCGUGAGUGACAAAACUGAAACAAAGGACCAGUUUGUAUAUUGUGUACAAUAAUAAAGAGAGUAACAUGAAAUUCACAUCAUGUUAUUUCUUCUUUUUUUUUUUUUCAAUGUCCCUUUGUGAUUUUGUGUUAAUCAGGUUUUUACAUAAUUUAUAAAAAUGCCAGUUCGACCUUGACUCAAAUGUUGAAUUGUAAUGAAGUCAGACAAAAAAAAAAUCUGAAUCUCUGUACUCCAAAUCCAUCUGUUUAGAAAUGAUUUUUGGAGAUUUUAUCUGCUGUACUCAAUGAGUGUAAGCUUUUUAAAGAAACAAAACAAAAACCAAUAAAUAAUAGUUUUCCUAGUGUGUCACUUUGA